AAAACCGGUCGUUUCUCAGCAAAGACAUUAUCGCUAACUCAGUGCUAUUCGCAGAGCCAGAUACGAUCACCGACAGCGACGAUGAUGUCCUCGUCACGGCGGACUUGUCGACAAGCGAAUUGGGCAAUCCCGACAGCUGCCAGAAAGAUUUUUCGAUCAGCCGAUUAAAAUUACGGUCAAGUGACACGAUUUGCAGAAACCGACCGGCAAUCGAAUACAGGACGAAAGCGUCUCCAUCCGAAACUUUGAAUUGCAAGAGAGCUGGCUCUUUAAUCCUUCCGGAAAAUAGGGGAACGUGUU
rnacentral:sRNA from 1 species